rnacentral:misc_RNA from 1 species
AACUUUCAGCAAUGGAUCACUUGGCUCUCGCAUCGAUGAAGAACGCAGCGAAAUGCGAUAAGUAAUGUGAAUUGCAGAGUUCAGUGAAUCAUCGAAUCUUUGAACGCACCUUGCACCCUUUGGCAUUCCGAAGGGUAUGCUCGUUUGAGUGUCAUUGUACUCUCAUGCUCCCGAUGCUUUUGGAUCGGGAGUGGUGGACUUGGGUGUUGCUGCUUUACUGUGGCUCACCUCAAAUGGAGUAGUGCAACUCUUGGUUGGACAUAGUACGGCGUGAUAAGUGUCUUCGCCGGCGCCUCAUUAGAGGGUGGCCGAUCGGGAGCUCUGUGCUUCAAACCGUCUUCGGACAACAUCUGACAACUUGACCUCAAAUCGAGUAGGACUACCCGCUGAACUUAAGCAUAUCAAUAAGCGGAGGCU